rnacentral:rRNA from 1 species
GACGAACGCUGGCGGCGCGCUUAACACAUGCAAGUCGAGCGAGAACCUGGGCUUCGGCCCAGGGGACAGCGGCGAACGGGUGAGUAACACGUGGAUAACCUGCCCUCGGCACCGGGAUAGCCCGGGGAAACUCGGAUUAAUACCGGAUGGCCCUUCCGGCUCUCGAGCCGGUCGGAAAAGGGAGCUUCGGCCUCCGGCCGAGGAGGGGUCCGCGGCGGAUUCGGUUGUUGGGGGGGUAAUGGCCUACAAAGGCUCCGAUCCGUAGCUGGUCUGAGAGGACGAUCAGCCACACUGGGACUGAGACACGGCCCAGACUCCUACGGGAGGCAGCAGUGGGGAAUCUUGCGCAAUGGGCGAAAGCCUGACGCAGCGACGCCGCGUGAGGGAGGAAGGCCUUCGGGUUGUAAACCUCUUUCAGGAGGGACGAAGCUACUCGGGUGAAUAGCCCAGAGGGUGACGGUACCUCCAGAAGAAGCCCCGGCUAACUACGUGCCAGCCGCCGCGGUAAAAC